GAUGAACGCUGGCGGCGUGCCUAAUACAUGCAAGUCGAGCGAACGGACGAGAAGCUUGCUCCUCUGAUGUUAGCGGCGGACGGGUGAGUAACACGUGGAUAACCUACCUAUAAGACUGGGAUAACUUCGGGAAACCGGAGCUAAUACCGGAUAAUAUUUUGAACCGCAUGGUUCAAGAGUGAAAGACGGUCUUGCUGUCACUUAUAGAUGGAUCCGCGCUGCAUUAGCUAGUUGGUAAGGUAACGGCUUACCAAGGCAACGAUGCGUAGCCGACCUGAGAGGGUGAUCGGCCACACUGGAACUGAGACACGGUCCAGACUCCUACGGGAGGCAGCAGUAGGGAAUCUUCCGCAAUGGGCGAAAGCCUGACGGAGCAACGCCGCGUGAGUGAUGAAGGUCUUCGGAUCGUAAAACUCUGUUAUUAGGAAAGAACAUAUGUGUAAGUAACUGUGCACAUCUUGACGGUACCUAAUCAGAAAGCCACGGCUAACUACGUG
rnacentral:rRNA from 1 species